UGAGAAUUAGCAUUAUUACAGGUCCCCAAGUGACACUGCUGCUGAUGAUGUGGCAACAACAUUUUAGGAUCUCCUUUCUAGUGAAGUAGCUCAGCUGCUUUAAUGUAUGACCUAUGAUUAUGGAGGAGAGAAUGUUCUUGGGUGCUUUCAAUCUGUCUUGACCCUAAUCAGUGAUUUUCUUUGGUAAGUUUCCACCCUACCUUGGAGGGAGCUCAGAAGUAAAAUCCACCCAGCUGAUACAAAGAAAAGUGAGUUAA
rnacentral:lncRNA from 1 species